GCGGGUGUGGCUGAGGGGCUAGGCAGCGGCCUGCAAAGCCGUAUACACGGGUUCAAAUCCCGUCACUCGCUCCA
rnacentral:tRNA from 1 species